UUAAGCGACUAAGCGUACACGGUGGAUGCCCUGGCAGUCAGAGGCGAUGAAGGACGUGCUAAUCUGCGAUAAGCGUCGGUAAGGUGAUAUGAACCGUUAUAACCGGCGAUUUCCGAAUGGGGAAACCCAGUGUGUUUCGACACACUAUCAUUAACUGAAUCCAUAGGUUAAUGAGGCGAACCGGGGGAACUGAAACAUCUAAGUACCCCGAGGAAAAGAAAUCAACCGAGAUUCCCCCAGUAGCGGCGAGCGAACGGGGAGCAGCCCAGAGCCUGAAUCAGUGUGUGUGUUAGUGGAAGCGUCUGGAAAGGCGCGCGAUACAGGGUGACAGCCCCGUACACAAAAAUGCACAUGCUGUGAGCUCGAUGAGUAGGGCGGGACACGUGGUAUCCUGUCUGAAUAUGGGGGGACCAUCCUCCAAGGCUAAAUACUCCUGACUGACCGAUAGUGAACCAGUACCGUGAGGGAAAGGCGAAAAGAACCCCGGCGAGGGGAGUGAAAAAGAACCUGAAACCGUGUACGUACAAGCAGUGGGAGCACGCUUAGGCGUGUGACUGCGUACCUUUUGUAUAAUGGGUCAGCGACUUAUAUUCUGUAGCAAGGUUAACCGAAUAGGGGAGCCGAAGGGAAACCGAGUCUUAACUGGGCGUUAAGUUGCAGGGUAUAGACCCGAAACCCGGUGAUCUAGCCAUGGGCAGGUUGAAGGUUGGGUAACACUAACUGGAGGACCGAACCGACUAAUGUUGAAAAAUUAGCGGAUGACUUGUGGCUGGGGGUGAAAGGCCAAUCAAACCGGGAGAUAGCUGGUUCUCCCCGAAAGCUAUUUAGGUAGCGCCUCGUGAAUUCAUCUCCGGGGGUAGAGCACUGUUUCGGCAAGGGGGUCAUCCCGACUUACCAACCCGAUGCAAACUGCGAAUACCGGAGAAUGUUAUCACGGGAGACACACGGCGGGUGCUAACGUCCGUCGUGAAGAGGGAAACAACCCAGACCGCCAGCUAAGGUCCCAAAGUCAUGGUUAAGUGGGAAACGAUGUGGGAAGGCCCAGACAGCCAGGAUGUUGGCUUAGAAGCAGCCAUCAUUUAAAGAAAGCGUAAUAGCUCACUGGUCGAGUCGGCCUGCGCGGAAGAUGUAACGGGGCUAAACCAUGCACCGAAGCUGCGGCAGCGACGCUUAUGCGUUGUUGGGUAGGGGAGCGUUCUGUAAGCCUGUGAAGGUGUGCUGUGAGGCAUGCUGGAGGUAUCAGAAGUGCGAAUGCUGACAUAAGUAACGAUAAAGCGGGUGAAAAGCCCGCUCGCCGGAAGACCAAGGGUUCCUGUCCAACGUUAAUCGGGGCAGGGUGAGUCGACCCCUAAGGCGAGGCCGAAAGGCGUAGUCGAUGGGAAACAGGUUAAUAUUCCUGUACUUGGUGUUACUGCGAAGGGGGGACGGAGAAGGCUAUGUUGGCCGGGCGACGGUUGUCCCGGUUUAAGCGUGUAGGCUGGUUUUCCAGGCAAAUCCGGAAAAUCAAGGCUGAGGCGUGAUGACGAGGCACUACGGUGCUGAAGCAACAAAUGCCCUGCUUCCAGGAAAAGCCUCUAAGCAUCAGGUAACAUCAAAUCGUACCCCAAACCGACACAGGUGGUCAGGUAGAGAAUACCAAGGCGCUUGAGAGAACUCGGGUGAAGGAACUAGGCAAAAUGGUGCCGUAACUUCGGGAGAAGGCACGCUGAUAUGUAGGUGAAGUCCCUCGCGGAUGGAGCUGAAAUCAGUCGAAGAUACCAGCUGGCUGCAACUGUUUAUUAAAAACACAGCACUGUGCAAACACGAAAGUGGACGUAUACGGUGUGACGCCUGCCCGGUGCCGGAAGGUUAAUUGAUGGGGUUAGCGCAAGCGAAGCUCUUGAUCGAAGCCCCGGUAAACGGCGGCCGUAACUAUAACGGUCCUAAGGUAGCGAAAUUCCUUGUCGGGUAAGUUCCGACCUGCACGAAUGGCGUAAUGAUGGCCAGGCUGUCUCCACCCGAGACUCAGUGAAAUUGAACUCGCUGUGAAGAUGCAGUGUACCCGCGGCAAGACGGAAAGACCCCGUGAACCUUUACUAUAGCUUGACACUGAACAUUGAGCCUUGAUGUGUAGGAUAGGUGGGAGGCUUUGAAGUGUGGACGCCAGUCUGCAUGGAGCCGACCUUGAAAUACCACCCUUUAAUGUUUGAUGUUCUAACGUGGACCCGUAAUCCGGGUUGCGGACAGUGUCUGGUGGGUAGUUUGACUGGGGCGGUCUCCUCCUAAAGAGUAACGGAGGAGCACGAAGGUUGGCUAAUCCUGGUCGGACAUCAGGAGGUUAGUGCAAUGGCAUAAGCCAGCUUGACUGCGAGCGUGACGGCGCGAGCAGGUGCGAAAGCAGGUCAUAGUGAUCCGGUGGUUCUGAAUGGAAGGGCCAUCGCUCAACGGAUAAAAGGUACUCCGGGGAUAACAGGCUGAUACCGCCCAAGAGUUCAUAUCGACGGCGGUGUUUGGCACCUCGAUGUCGGCUCAUCACAUCCUGGGGCUGAAGUAGGUCCCAAGGGUAUGGCUGUUCGCCAUUUAAAGUGGUACGCGAGCUGGGUUUAGAACGUCGUGAGACAGUUCGGUCCCUAUCUGCCGUGGGCGCUGGAGAACUGAGGGGGGCUGCUCCUAGUACGAGAGGACCGGAGUGGACGCAUCACUGGUGUUCGGGUUGUCAUGCCAAUGGCACUGCCCGGUAGCUAAAUGCGGAAGAGAUAAGUGCUGAAAGCAUCUAAGCACGAAACUUGCCCCGAGAUGAGUUCUCCCUGACUCCUUGAGAGUCCUGAAGGAACGUUGAAGACGACGACGUUGAUAGGCCGGGUGUGUAAGCGCAGCGAUGCGUUGAGCUAACCGGUACUAAUGAACCGUGAGACUUAACCUU
rnacentral:rRNA from 1 species